rnacentral:misc_RNA from 1 species
GGGCCAGUCAAAAAAGAGGAAGAUAAAUGGUAAAACGUGAAUGCAAAACAUGUGAAAGCUAAUUAUGGGACGUGAGUAGAUGACGGAUAAAUGCUGAUAUCUGUUGCAAUGCAAAACAUGUAAAGCUAAUUAUGGGACGUGAUUAGACAACGGAUAAAUGCUGAUCUCUGUUGCAAACUAAGGGCAUGCUAACCAACACAGAUUUUGCGGACAUUUGCAGCUUUGAAAUGGUGACUUGGUAACUUGGAAUGGAGAAAUAGAAGAAUUGAGCAAUUUUGCAGCAUUUUGUGUGGUUCAUUUGCAAGUUGCAAUGGACUAAUAUGAAUCUUAUGGAUAUAUGUUAUUAAUGAUUAUUUUUUACUCGAAAUUGUACUAGGAUAAAAUACUAGCAACAUGUGUGU